rnacentral:rRNA from 1 species
GACAAUAUCUCAGUCGAGAUUCCUACGGGAGGCAGCAGCAGGGAAUAUUGCACAAUGGGCGCAAGCCUGAUGCAGCGACGCCGCGUGAGGGAUGAAGGCUUUCGGGUUGUAAACCUCUUUCAGUGGGGAAGAAGCGCAAGUGACGGUACCCACACAAGAAGGCCCGGCCAACUACGUGCCAGCAGCCGCGGUAAUACGUAGGGGCCAAGCGUUAUCCGGAUUUAUUGGGCGUAAAGAGCACGUAGGUGGCAUGGUAAGUCAAAGGUGAAAGCCCUCGGCUCAACCGAGGAAUUGCCUUUGAAACUGCUUUGCUUGAGUCCGGGAGGGGGGAGCGGAAUUCCCAGUGUAGCGGUGAAAUGCGUAGAUACUGGGAGGAACACCGGUGGCGAAGGCGGCUCCCUGGACCGGUACUGACACUGAGGUGCGAAAGCGUGGGUAGCAAACAGGAUUAGAUACCCUGGUAGUCCACGCCGUAAACGAUGGGCACUAGGUGCAGCGGGUGUCGACCCCUGCUGUGCCGUAGUUAACGCAUUAAGUGCUCCGCCUGGGGAGUACGGUCGCAAGGUUGAAACUCAAAUGAAUUGACGG